UACGUAGGGUGCAAGCGUUAAUCGGAAUUACUGGGCGUAAAGCGCGUGUAGGCGGUCCGGUAAGUCCGCUGUGAAAGUCGGGGGCUCAACCCUCGGAUGCCGGUGGAUACUGUCGGGCUUGAGUACGGAAGAGGCGAGUGGAAUUCCUGGUGUAGCGGUGAAAUGCGCAGAUAUCAGGAGGAACACCGAUGGUGAAGGCAGGUCUCUGGGCCACUACUGACGCUGAGAAGCGAAAGCAUGGGGAGCGAACAGG
rnacentral:rRNA from 1 species